CAAGCAGGAGCCAUCCUGUGCACAGAGAAGACACAGGCUAAACUAGGCCUGUUUUAGCAAAAGAAACUUAAAAAGAAAGCCAUCCGAACACAAAUUCCUUGCAGAAAACAGAUUUUCAGACAGAACAAAGUGAACAUCAAGCGGCAGACUAAAAGACUCUCUCAAACCACAUCUGUUGCUUUUGCUUGAAGCUUUAAUAAUCUGCAGGAUUUCUCAGGUCACAAAAGCUGUCCUCUAGAAGCAAUUCAGAAAGAAAACAAGACUCUCCCGAUAGCAAUGAAGUAGACUGGACUCCUGUAAAUCAUCAACACAACCAAUCUUAUUCCAUUGUCAACUUACCAUGUGUGCAGGUACCCUGAGAGCACAUACACCUAAGACAAAUUCCUUGUGUGUCCAAUCACACUUGGCCAAUAAAGAAUUCUAUUCUAUUCUAUGUUCUGGGUCUGAAGAAUAGCAAGAAAAUUGCUGCAGAUGGUUCACUACGCCAGAUGGAAUACAUGAAGAAUGUUUCUGAAAGAAGGGAACACAAUAUGCAUCCAAUGUUGACAGACAAAAAACAGUAUUUCAAAAACUAAUCAGUAAGAGAAAAACAUCAAAUUAUAUAUACUGAACGACUGGAAAAACUAUACAUUGGUAUAUGUUACCUUCAAGACAUAAUUAAUUUGCACAAUGAAAAAACUAAUUUUUAACCAACAUCCAGGUGGGAAGAUGUAUUUCUUGAAAGGUAACAUUCUCGAACAUUACAGUGACUUUCUGAAGGUUUGUAUCAGGGAAAUCAAAAAGAUAAUAUAAACAGUAUCCAUCUUUUUUGUUUCUAAAAGGUUAUGUUUUUCUGUCAAAUUUCUAAGCAAAGCAAAGACAUGGAUACAAAACUGAAUGUAAUUUAAAUGAUAAAAGAAUAAAUAAUAAAGGAUACUAUAUCAAUCCAGGCUCAAAAACAAGAGAGCAACAAUGAAUAAACAAAGACUGCCAAGAAGCCUUCACAUAAGUCAAUCACCUUGAGAAAUAAGAUCAGUCUUGUUUGUAUAUAGCAGUAAAAUGGAUAACUCAUUUACUACUAAAUGAAUAAUACUUGUUCAGUCCCACAGCAGUUUCCAUUUUUUUCAUUUAAAAACUUGCGAUUAAAAAAAAUCAUGCCAAGAGAGAGGGAGAAAACAAAUUCAGGCACUAAUUCUUAGUUACAAAAUUCUGAUACUAUAGUGUAGGGGUGUCAAACUCGAUUUCAUUGAGGGUUGUGUUUGACCUCGGGGGCCGGGGUGGGUGUGGCCAGCUUGACAUCACUUGUGUCAGGGGCAUCUGUUGUGGUCCAAGUGCUCUGCCAAUGAAAAUGGUCUCCAGAGCUCCAUUUUCAGCUGUGAUGGUCUCCUGCCACCCUCUGCCAGUGUAAAUGGAGCUCGGGAGGGCCACAACUCCAUUUUCACUGGCAGAGACACCCUAGAAACAGUCCUUUGCUGUUUCUAGGGUGGCCCCACGGGCCAGAUCUAAACACCCCACAGGCCGGAUUCGGCCCCCAGGUCUUGAGUUUGACAACCCCUGCUAUAGUGUAUCAUUUUUGGAAGAAAAGGUGUAGCAACCUUUCUUAAUUUGCUCUCUCUUGCCCUUAUGCAGGAACAAAAAUUAUUUCCUUCUUGGGAGGCAGGAAGCACGGACAAUACAUCCAUAUAAUAAUAAAUGAAGAUUUUAUAUUUUAUUAUUUACAUUUUAAAUAAGUAUAUCCCAGAAUUCUUCUAGUAGUCCAAAUUCAACACAAGCAUUAAUUUCACAGCUGAAUAUGAAGGUAUUUUUCCACACGCAUAAUUCAGUAGUAAUGGCAGCAACCUACAAUGAUGUCAAGAUGUAAAUGCCAUCAUUGUGUACUUGAAUUCUAAUAUUUCACCCAAGUAUGUAAGUCUGGGCAUUUGUAUGCUUAGACUGCCACACAUAUUUCAUCAGAGAAGGUUGUUCCUUCUCUGGACAAGAAAGAAUUUUCUAUUCUUUCUCAGAAUUUGGUGGAUAGGAAUCUUUUUUUAAAAAAAUGUUAAAUUUUAGGCCUUAGAAAUUUGAGUCAUUGUUUUUUUACCAGCAAUGGUUAAAAUAGGAUCCAGUGGCUAAAGCCAACAAUUUUGAGGGCCUAAAUACUGAGAGAAGCACUUAUUCAAAUUUUUAAUAAUUCAAUCUGGAGUAAGAGCCAGGAAACAAGGAGCAACUUCAGAGAAUGAAGGUAAAAGACAUAUUCGGAAAAAAAGUCCUCCGAAAUUUUGGCCUGCUAACCAGAACCCGAUGCAUCAAUCUUGCCUAUGUGAGAGAUAACAAAGCUACAUGUAUCCUGCUAAGUCAAGAUUUUUAAACAAUGGUUAGUUGAAUAAACUAUGGUGACAUGAAGUCAGUCCUAUUAAGACUUUUCUCCAGCGUGGAGAAGGCAUCUUUCAUAUUAUACAUACACAACUACAUCCACACAUUUACUCCCAAGAAUCUGUUUACCAUGAAGCAGACCUCUUCCAGAUUUUUAAUUUACAAAUUUAAAUGAAUCUUAGAUGUUUACCGAAAUAUACAGAAACUGUGGUACCACCAGUAUAUAAUUUUAGAUUACCAUAUUUCACUUCUAAACUGAUACUGACCAACCAUAUAAACAUACAAUUAGAAGGAAUUAUAUCUUGCACAGAAGAAAGCAUUAAAAAUAUUUCUGGAAAAAGACUCAAGUUUCAUAUUUGACGAUGGCUGAUAAAAAUAUAAUCAAAGUAGAAAUUGAAAUUGUAUAAUAAAGAGUUG